AAAAGAAAGAAAAAGAUAAAGUUGGAAUAGGUAUCAAAACGGAAACCUUCUCUUUCCCUCAUCCAUCUCUUCGUCCCUCUCUCUGCUCCAUUCCCCUCAUGCUCUCUCUCUGUUCAGCCAUGGCGCCAACACCAUGAUAGCGCCAGACGGCUCCUCCGGGAAGCAUGUAAAACACGCUACUACCCUCAACUCCUUACUUCCAUUACUUCCUCUUAAUUUUAGAACUUGUGCUUUAAAUCCACAUCCACCCAACAUCCAAAAAUAGUUAUAUAUUGAAGGUAGAACGUCCAUUUUUAGAGAGGGAGAGCUCGGCCUCCAUGGAGAAAUCAGAAGCCGUGAGCUUCAUGGUUGCUUCUACACCUCGAUUCCUCAUCUUUUCGUUAAUUCAAUCGCGAAUUCUCCAAUAAUUCAAACUGCCCUGGUCUGCCAGGAAAUGACAUGGAGAAGGAGCAUGGAUAAUGUGAUUCGUAUGUCAAAGGUGUCUGGGAUUUUGAGAUUAGAGGAUCACACAAGCUCUUUUGUUGUACAGCUGCUCAGGCUUUAGCCCGCCUUUGCGUUUGAAAAAUUAUGUUUGAUAUGUUAGAUGUGGCAUGUAUAGAAUGUCUAAUGUAGAAUGGACAUUUUAUUUACUUCGUUAUCUAGGUUUUAAAAAUAUAUAUUCAGAAUCUUGGAAACAGGUUUAUGCUCUAGUUCUAGAUAUUAUAUAUCAGUUUUCCUACUUGCCAAAUAAAGGAAAAUAAAGUAUCUAUAUAUUAAAAAAAAAAGAUUUUUCUGUCAAUUCAAGAUUAAUACCAAAAUUGACAAUAUUUAUUGAUUAUUAAAAUAAUUAGGUAAGGGGUGUUACAAUUCUACUAUUAUUUUAUAUGAAUUUUGAAAAUAAUUUUGAAAAUUAUAAAUUUUUGAAGGUGUGCAAUUUUUUCAACCUAAUCCAAAUAGGAAUUUUUAGAUAGAUUUUUAUUUUGUGUGACUAGCCGUGUGAAAAUUAUGUGGCCUAGUCUAAAUUCAAAACUAUAAUUCUUGAAUUCGACGUUGAAUAAUUCUAUAUAAAUAGAUUAAGAUAUGUUUGAUAGAGCGGUCGGCUGUGAGAAAUGAGCAUCAAUCUUAAAGUUUGUGAAUUUUAAUACAAUUUUCAAAGCUCCUGAGAUAUAUCAUAAUUCGCGCACAAGUUUAUGGUUUCUAAACCAUAAACCAAUAUCCCUUUAGGGCUCGUUUGGUAGCGUUUACGGGAUUUUCUCAAAUUCUUAGAUUAAUGUUAAUCCUAUAGAUUUACAUAAGUAAUCCCAAUUAGUAGGGCAUUUGGUAAAACUCCAUUAUUGGUUAUUACAAUGUGUGGUACACAUAUUAGAUUAUGCUGAAUAUUUGUAUAAACGAUUGUGGAGACAUCCUUGUCCCUACUUUACAAAAUUAAAAGACAUUUAACCCCUCGGCCGUCCUUGCUCCUCUGGUUCUUGGCGCGCAGAAAUUCUGCCGUUCGCGCCAUCUCCAGACGAGUUCCUCCAUAUAAGCACGUGCUCCCUCCCAUUAUCGCAUCACUCACAGCCGACGAGACUCAUACUCCUGUUGCAUUCUUUCCGAUGGCUUCUAAGGGGCACCGUAAGCUCAAUUACGACGGAAGUCCCAGUGGUUGUGGGAGUGGUG